GCUUGUAUGCGAAGCAGUAAUUGUUUUAAAACAUCUCCUGCCAUGUCACUGAUGAGUCGUGAAACAAUGUUGUUUGAUGAAGUAAUUGUCUGUAUAGUCUUUUUGGGCCUUUCCCCCAGCCAUAUCUGCGGCAGCAGGAAGAAUUAAGCCCUCCACAAUAGUAUGGGGCCUGCCUGUCCUAGCCACUCGGUAGCUCAUCAUAUAAGACACUUCUAGCCCCUUCUUAUUAAUGGUAUCUGUUGCUUUUAUACAUGUCUUACUACUCAAAAUUCAUUUCAAUUCUUGCUCAAAAACCCCUGGGGCAAAUUUUUCAAAUUGCCAUGUUUUGUUUCUAAAUGUCUGUGCAAGAGUGAAGAUUUCAUCGAGUUGUGAGAUAGUACCUUUGCACAUAGAACACACUGUAGCUGAGGAAAGGCACUACCCCCAAUCUAAGUGCACGCACCAGCCCUCACUGGAUGGAACACACCAGUCCCAGUUGGACAGCACGCACCAGCCCUCACUGGAUGGAACGCACCAGCUCCAGUAUGACGGCACGCACCAGCCGCAUUGCAGCCAUGUGAUGGUUGUAGGGACGAGGUCGAACAAAUCCUCCGUGACAAGGGAAGGAUGGAGGAAGUAAUUUUGAGAAUAGACCCAGUCCAGAUCCGAGAGCUGCACGCUCUCAUUGACAUCAUUGGAGAAACACUGUUAGCUACAGGAGAGAAGGCUAUCGGUGCCAUCCGGCGAGCAAGAGUUGUUUCCUGACAGUGGCAUGUUCCUCUCAUCGUUCUGCCAUCCAUCAGGCAUCUAAGCAAGAUUGCUUGCGUCUGUUCAUUUUCUUUUUGACAAUUGUCUCAGUGGAAGAAUGUGUCAAUUCAGUUGCCUUUGGACGCCAUGGCAAGAUCCCCGAAGGGAAGCUAGUCCUCGAACCAGAAAAAGCCUACAUUUUGCGUUGUGCUACCUUGAAUGGUUGGACCGGAAUCGAUGAAGCAAAACUGAAGGCAUUCAUCAACAAGUGAAGGUCCAGAGCAGGACAUACAGAGUAGUGACUACAUUUUUUUUUUUGUUUGUGUACAAUGUGCAAUGUUCAUAUUUGCAAUAAGGUUAAUUUAAGAACAUACUGUUAUGGGCUUACUGGUGUCACAUGUAGGUUCAACUUUUUGUUCACUACAUCUGGUGGGUGACAACUGGCUAUUUUCAUCUCUACAAUAUUAUUUUUGGCUUUACCUAAUGUUUUAAAUCAGGUACAAGAGCAUAUGCUGUAUAUUCAUUUUAUUUAUGUUCUUACAGUCAAUGGAACCCAAUCUGUGUUGGGAAUGAAAAGUGAGAUGCAUUGUUAAUAUAAUAAGCACUGUUGAAUACAUUUGUUGAACUGUAUCAGUUUAUUCUUAUUUUUUAACAGGUAAUCAUAAUUAAUAAUAUGGCAAAUUAAAUGCUAACAAA